CCUACGGGUGGCAGCAGUGAGGAAUAUUGGUCAAUGGCCGGAAGGCUGAACCAGCCAAGCCGCGUGAGUGACGAAUGCCCUAUGGGUUGUAAACCCCUUUUAUCAGGGGAGAAUAAAUGCUACGUGUAGCAUGAUGCCUUUACCUUAUGAAUAAGCAUCGGCUAACUACGUUCCAUCAGCCGCGGUAAGAGGGAGGGGGCAAGCGUUACCCGGAUUUACUGUGUGUAACGGGGACGCAGGCGGUGAUGCAAGCCAGGUGUGAAAGCCCGGGGCCCAACCCCGGAAUUGCUGUUGGAACUGGGUGGCUAGAGGGCAGGAGGGGGAGGGUGAAUUCCAUGUGUAGCGGUGAAAUGCGUAGAGAUCAGGAGGAACACCGGUGGCGAAGGCGGCCCGCUGGACUGCAACUGACGUUGAGGUCCGAAAGCGUGGGGAGCAAACAGGAUUAGAUACCCCAGUAGUC
rnacentral:rRNA from 1 species